UACAGAGGUCCCGAGCGUUGUUCGGAUUCACUGGGCGGAAAGGGUGCGUAGGUGGUGACGUAAGUCGGAUGUGAAAUCUCGGAGCUCAACUCCGAAACGGCAUUGGAAACUGCGUUGCUAGAGGGUUGGAGGGGGGACUGGAAUGCUUGGUGUAGCAGUGAAAUGCGUAGAUAUCAAGCGGAACACCAGUGGCGAAGGCGAGUCCCUGGACAACACCUGACACUGAGGCACGAAAGCUAGGGGAGCAAACAGG
rnacentral:rRNA from 1 species